UAAAUGAAACAAUUACUUUUUAUAAAUAUAUGUGAAAGUGAGCCUGAUUGAAAAAGUAAAGUAUAUAUUAUAUAUUAUACAUUAUCGGAUAAUGAGUGAUUCGUCAUCAUGUGAUUCUAAUUCUGAUAAUGAUAUAAAUAAUGCAGUUCCCAAAAAA